UCUAACUAAAAUAAAGCUGGGACUAUGAGAAAAUGAGGGAGUCCUUCCUUUCUUCUUAUUAAGAUAGAUCAAGCUCUGCAGAAGACAAAUUCACCACCCUUCUCAGAAGCAUGUGGGGAAGAAGCGGCAAAGGAGGAAAGCAAUGGAGGAGAGAUAGCACAUGAAAAUGUCACAUAGAGAAAACAGAUGGAUUCAGCUAGGAGAAGGAGAGUGGACAAAACAGUUUAGUGCCUAGAAACGUCCAGAACGAAUAAAGUACAAAGCUCCACCA
rnacentral:lncRNA from 1 species